rnacentral:lncRNA from 1 species
CCUCAAAUGUGGAAAUGUCCGGGAUUUCUCCUGAGCCCUGAAGAUCCCUGGUGUCCCAACACCCCAGGAAUUGGACAGAGAAUUCUACAGUUGCCUUCGGUCUAGAUCGUGGUGAGCCGAACAGCUCUCUGACAGACGCAGAUACUCACCUGCUUUGAUCACUGACUGUGCCCAGAAAAGUGCCUGGCUCCUAAUGCAACUGAAUAUGUAUUUGUGGAAUAAAUGAGUGUUUAUUUUAGAAAAAUCACUCUAGUAACAAUUUGGAAAAUAGACUUGAAGGGAAGAAAUCCGUGCUUUUAGAAAGUUCUCUCUGGCUAGAUGGUGCAGUGUGGAUUGGACACAGAAACCCCACAGUCUCUUGGAACACCAAACCCUGCAGGCUGUUCGAUGAGGUGAAUUCCACAUGAUUAUAGCCUAGAAGUGGCUUGGAAGCUUUCUUCACUGAGUCCGACAGAAGAGUGUCUUGAGACCCUCACGCCAUGAGAAAGCCCGAGGCCCUUUGGGGGGAAAGCAGCAUACUCCAGUUCCCAGCCCCGUUGGAGCCAAGCCCCCGGCAGAUCCACCAGCUGAACACAGCCACACGAGUGAUCCCAGGCGACAGGAGCCACCCAGCCAAGCCACAGAGUUGUGAGAAACAACAAAUUGUUGUUUUAAACCACUAAGUUUCUUUCUCCUCUUUAGGCUUUGAGUUUAAGGAACUGGUGGGCAUCCAGAUGGAGAUAGACAGCAGGAAUCGAAUAUAAUUUAAUUAAAUACAAGGAAUCGAAUAUAUUCACAUAAAUAUACACAGAUAUACGUAUAUGUGUAGUGUUUACCUAUGUAUGUGUGCAUAUACACGCAUAUGUAUGUACGCACGUAUUCUGACACAAAUGGCUUUGAUGGCCUGUGGAUUAUAU